GGUCAGGCUGGAGACCUUACCCGAUUAGCUGAGAGGUGGUGCAUGGCCGUCGUCAGUUCGUACUGUGAAGCAUCCUGUUAAGUCAGGCAACGAGCGAGACCCACGUCCACAGUUGCCAGCAUACCCGUCCGGGGUGAUGGGUACACUGUGGAGACCGCCGCUGCUAAAGCGGAGGAAGGAGUGGGCAACGGUAGGUCAGUAUGCCCCGAAUCUCCCGGGCUACACGCGGGCUACAAUGGUUGGUACAAUGGGCAUCUACCCCGAAAGGGGAAGGAAAUCUCUUAAAGCCAAUCGUAGUUCGGAUUGAGGGCUGCAACUCGCCCUCAUGAAGCUGGAAUCCGUAGUAAUCGCGUUUCAACAGAACGCGGUGAAUACGUCCCUGCUCCUU
rnacentral:rRNA from 1 species